GGAUGCGAUCAUACCAGCACUAAAGCACCGGAUCCCAUCAGAACUUCGAAGUUAAGCGUGCUUGGGCGAGAGUAGUACUAGGAUGGGUGACCUCCUGUGAAGUCCUCGUGUUGCAUUCC
rnacentral:rRNA from 2 species